ACGGCAAGCUAAUCUCUUAAAGCCAGUCUCAGUUCGGAUUGUAGGCUGCAACUCGCCUACAUGAAGUCGGAAUCGCUAGUAAUCGCGGAUCAGCACGCCGCGGUGAAUACGUUCCCGGGCCUUGUACACACCGCCCGUCACACCACGAGAGUUUGUAACACCCGAAGUCGGUGAGGUAACCGUAAGGAGCCAGCCGCCUAAGGUGGGAUAGAUGAUUGGGGUGAAGUCGUAACAAGGUAGCCGUAUCGGAAGGUGCGGCUGGAUCACCUCCUUUCUAAGGA
rnacentral:rRNA from 1 species